rnacentral:lncRNA from 1 species
ACCUUCUUUUCCUCAUCACCUGAAUACAGGAAGUGUUAUAGUUAUUAAUGGGGACCAGCUCUUAAUGUUUGACCAAUAACUAUAUAGCAUACACCUAAAAGCAGGAGUCUGUAACAAGUUGAAAGGAGAUGACAAUUGAUCUUAAAGCAUUACCCAAGCAAUUUCUAAGAUAUCUGCCUCUCUCUCAGAUAAACGUAUGGCUCACUCUCUCACUUCAUUCAAGCCUUUGCCCAAAUGUCACCUUAUCGGAGAGGCCUCCUCUAAUCAACCCAUGUAAAGUAGCAACCUCUACCACAUCACUCUCUUUGUGCCUGUUUCACUGUCAUAUCCUUCGUUCUUAGAACAGGAGCUGGCUCACAGUAGGUGCUCAGUAAAUAUCUGUGGGCUGAAGGAAAAUCUCAGGGCCCUUCUUCGUCAGGAGCUUGUACCAUUAUGUCUCUACCUCCUCCCCAACCCACCACGCAUGAUGGGUUAUUUAGUGCAUUAGUUAAUCCCUCCUCUCUUUUUCUCCAAAUCCCUUUUAUUUUUGUAAAAGAAUGCACUACGCGCCAGCAUCUGGCUUGUAAAAAUAAAUACAGUGACUGGCUUUCCCAAGUAACUUGGCCUAAUCAUCCAGUGCUCCUGAAAAGACCCGUCUCCUGAGAUGCAGCAAUCUUAUGAACGAUCUAUUCCAUGGUCCAGGCACAGAGGGGGCACUUACAUGGGUUGAAUUACACACCCCAGAGUAUCUGCAUUUAGAGCAAAAUGAAGGCUUGGAGUAUUUAUCAAAAUUAAGUGAUGCUGAUAUAAAGUAAAUAGAUAUCACUAUCUUUAAAUCAAGGUAUCAAUUAUUAACAUUUGGGGAUAUUACUGAUAGGCUUAUUUUGUUUGCUUAUUUCUUGAGACAAGGUCUUUCUCUGUCACCUAGGCUGGAGUGCAGUGGUGUGAUCACAGCUCACUGCAGCCUCAACCUCCUGGGUUCAAGCGAUCCUCCCACCUGUGCCUCCUGAGUAGCUGGGACUAUAUGAACACACUGCUAUGCCUAGCUUAUUUUUUAUUUUUUAUUUUUAGUAGAGAUGAGGUCUUGCCAUGUUGCCCAGGCUGGUCUCAAACUCCUGGUCUCAAGCUAUCCUUCCAACUCAGCUUUCCAAAGUGCUGGGAUUACAGACACGAGCCACCACACAUGGUCAACUUUUUUAAAAAAAAAUUACCAAAUCAAAAAAGUCAACUGAAUUGAAUUUAACUCAACAUCUAUUGUGUAUGAUUUGUAAUAUUUUUAAAUUUUUCCAAAAUUUUAAAAUAGCCAGUUAGCUGAAAAAUAAACUCAACUU